rnacentral:rRNA from 1 species
GGUGAGUAAUGCAUAGGAAUCUGCCCGAUAGUGGGGGAUAACCUGGGGAAACCCAGGCUAAUACCGCAUACGUCCUACGGGAGAAAGGGGGCUCCGGCUCCCGCUAUGGGAUGAGCCUAUGUCGGAUUAGCUAGUUGGUGAGGUAACGGCUCACCAAGGCCACGAUCCGUAGCUGGUCUGAGAGGAUGAUCACCACAUCGGGACUGAGACACGGCCCGAACUCCUACGGGAGGCAGCAGUGGGGAAUAUUGGACAAUGGGGGAAACCCUGAUCCAGCCAUGCCGCGUGUGUGAAGAAGGCCCUCGGGUUGUAAAGCACUUUCAGCGAGGAAGAACGCCUAGCGGUUAAUACCCGCUAGGAAAGACAUCACUCGCAGAAGAAGCACCGGCUAACUCCGUGCCAGCAGCCGCGGUAAUACGGAGGGUGCAAGCGUUAAUCGGGAAUUACUGGGCGUAAAGCGCGCGUAGGUGGGCUUGAUAAGCCGGUUGUGAAAGCCCCGG